UCUGCACCCCCCCAGGCCUCCUCCCCUCUGCUGCCCCCCGCCACCCUCCCCCAGCUCCUGGGUUCUCCUUCGCCCCUUUAUGUUACACGAUCGCUCAAAUUGAAGCUCAGGAGGGUCCUAUAGGGAAUGCAUAGGAUCCCUGGGAGAAAAAAGCCCCAACAAGCUAUACACCAGAUGUAUAACGUUAUAUGGUCAAACUGGCAAACACAAAAGCUGAAAAACAAAAGGCGUGAAUUAGGGAGAGGCAUUCAAAGGCGUGUUUUCAAAACAGCCCGGCCAAGAGCCUGGAUCCCCCUCCUGAGACUAAAUGCUUGAAAGAAAAGGUGCUAAAGAAAGAAAGGAAAAGGGGGAAAAAAAAAAAAGCCCAUUUUUUCUAAUUAGCUGAGGCCUAACGGGCUCUGAAUUUCGCAACUAGUUUUCAUCAAGGGGGUUGCGGCUUGUGAAACUGAAAAAAAAAUGCUUUUGAAACCUGUGAUGUAGACCUUCUCGAGACCAAAGCUCCACUUCAUCGUCAGGCUUUUUUUUUUUUUUCCUCCCCCUGGUUUUUCGGGUUCUGCUUUGCUUUCUAUCUGUAUGGAUCUCUUUUUUCACACCCUUCCCCCAAAGUACAAAUAUGAUUUGGGUUUAAAAGAGAGCAGGAGAGAAAGCCACAGCACAGCGGCCUUCCCGCCCCUCUUUCUGUCUCCUUUGGCGGGGAGCUUUCCUUGCCAGCCACAGUGGCUGUGAAUCUCAUUCCAAAGCUCCUCGGAGCACCAGAGGGCUCGGGAAAGGUGUCACCAGGACUCCGUGUGCUUCCUGUAAGCGCUGGGAGUGCUAUGAAAAGCCCUCCACCACUGUAAAGUCGGGUAUUUGGAAGAGGAGCUCCCUGAUCUCCUUUUGAGAGUUCUUUCAAACACAAGACAGCAAGGUGUAGUCUAGCCACGCUAUUGGCCCCCCGCACCCUUGAGAAAGGACUUGCACAGUAUCAUUUCUUUUAAAUUAUCCUUAAAGUGCAGAAAACGAUCUUGAACGCUGUAGCUGGAGAUGCACUGCUCCUCUGCUGCCUGAAAUUAUGAACCUGAAUUUGGCAAGCCCAUUUCUAAUAAGAAACCAAAAUAGAAGUUGUGGGUGAGUUUGGUGGGCAAGCUGGGUUUGGAAGAGAGGCAACUUUAAUUGCCGCGCUGGCUGGCUUGGAUGCCUGUGGUCCUGCGUGGUGUGAUUUAGUAACAAGCACUUGUUCUAAUGAAUUAGCCUUAUUAGGGGGCUCCUCAUAUUCUUUCAUAAAGAGCAGAGCUAUUCUAAACUUCUGAAUGCAACAGUCUCUUGAUAUUCUCACGCUGCCGGCUGUAGUGUGGGCUUGCUUUUCCUCCUCUGUAUUUUCAUAGCUUAUAUUUUUUAAUGGAAGAAAAGGGAGCCACUGAAAGAAGAAAACCACAGAGCUUGUAGGUACUGGCCAUCCGGGAACACAGGGCCAUGCAAGGGGCUUGGAGAAUUUUUAUGCUGAAAAUGUAUUUGCAUUUAUAGCUGCACAAUCCGGAUUUUGGUUCAGUCACCUUCUGGCACAUUUUUUUUUUUUUUGAUAAACUCAUGGCAAUGGAUAAAACAGAUUCAUUAGCUUUGAUUAACCUUCUUUAACUAGAGUUAAAAACCUGCUCUAGGCAGCUCCACAAACAGUGUAGCCUUUAAGAUACUUUAUCAUGUUUAAGACCCAAUUACUGUUGCACUGAAUAAGAAUAAAACAUCACAAUAAAAUGUGGUACAAACAGCCACUCUACUGCGCACGGCAAAUAAUCAUUAAUUUAUAACAGCGACUUUCCCAGUUCUAUGGUUUUCUGAUGGCUGCCCCUAAUUCAACUUGAAUACUCUGGAAUCUGAUGCUGAUAUAAGAAACUAGUAUCCCAGCAGUAAUGACUGUUAGGGUUUUUUUCCCCCCUUGUCUCACAGCUUUAGUUUGGAGACUCCGAAAGCUCCUUUAGAAAUUCCAAGCUAAUGGAGAAAUAAAGGAAAUCAAGGCAAUACAGAUCUAGGUCUUCCUAGCAGAAUAUUAAAAUGUGGUGACUCUUAAGGGCUUUAGAAUGAUUUCUUGUGAAUAAUUGGAAUUGUUUCUGCUUAGAAAAUUUCAAUGGUAACGAAAGACAGUCCAGUAAAAACAGCAUUGAGUUGAUUAAAAGUUAUUUAUAUGACGUGUACGUGCAAACAUUUUGAAAGAGACCCCACAAGGUCCAUUUUGUGUAUCUUGUGGGGAAAAAGCUGGGGAAUCGGUACAGCACACAAGGAGUUAAUUUUGGACAGGAUUUGACUGAACAGGGAAUAAUGAUCAGUGAGAUACUGCAGCUUUCAGGCAAAACAGAGUAACAACAAUUAAAAAGAGAGAGGGAGGAUAAAGGGAAAAAACAAUCUCCAGUCAGUUAACUAACAAGAGCAAUCCAAUGUUUGACACAGAUAAAACUGAGGCCACCAGGCUUGCCGCUGACGCUGGCUUUGAGGUUGAGUGUGCGAAGCAUUACAACAUUUGCGAGCCAACUGUCGAAUAUGUCCAUAUAACAAUGAUAUAGUUGAAGGAAGAAAUUAAAGUUGAAAGUUUUGAAAAAUAUAGUGAUGACUUCUUUGGCUUCCUGCAUCUAUCGGAAGAUGACUGCUUAACCACUACUUAAAGACCCAGCCCUGAAAUGACUGGAAAUCACCCUGACCUCAAGGAGCAUGAAAUCCCCUUUGUCUGCUGGACAACUCUGCUCUCAUUUCUAGAGAGGUCUUGCAAACAAUUCUGGGAUAAGAUGUGGCAGAACUUGAGCCUGAUCAUGGGACUCUUCUGAUUCAUCUCUUUCCGGUGCAGACUGAGAGCACUUACAAGAAUGGGAGAUAAAAGAAGGGCUUAGUCCCAAAGCCCUCUGAAAGUUUGGAUUUUGUUAAGAAAGACAAAAAGGACAUCAAUUAAAGACUGCUAUGGAGUAUAUUUCAAAUGCUCAUAUUUUUGCUCCAUUCCAGUAAAGGUUUCUCUCCAAAGAAAUUUGGUCCCGAGGAAGAAUAAAAGAAUGGAUGAUAUUUUAUUGUCUCUUGGAGAUGUUGGAAAUACUUCACUCCUACAUGUCUGGGGUUGUUUUCAUCUUGCCAAGUACUUUGAUAUUUGUGAAUAUGGCUACAUGGCUUGAAACAAGAGCAGUGAUAACUCAUACUAAUUAUUUAGCUUGUAUUUUAAUGCCUGACAAGAGAGAAAAGAACUUUUUCUUCCACGAUUCUGGUUGUAAAAAUUAAGAAGCUCAAGGGGAAGUGGAAGAUCUGUGUUCUUAAAAAGUUUCCAACUCACAGAUUUCUUGGAUCUAAACCAAUGAGAGCUUCCUGCAAAUAGGGAUCUCACCUCUGCUGACUUCUAGGCUCCGCAAAGCAGCUCAGAUUGGGGGCUGCUGCAUAAGUCCCACCACUCCCAAGCCUGUCUGCCAAUGGACAUCAGCAAUGAGUCUGGAUUAGAAAGAAGCUGAUCUGCUCCUCCCCCAUGCUCUUCUUUUCCAUUCAAGAUGAAAGUCUAACGUAUCAGCACUCCCCUUGCUACAUUCCGACAGAAGCAAUCUAAAUUAGAGUCAAGGAGUGUGAUGUUAAAUAUCUGGAAUCUCAGACAGACAAAAUGUGAUGUGCUAGAAUAUACAUGGAACAUAAUGAAAUGAUCUGGAAUACAGAAUUAAACAAUGAGGCUGGCUUAAGGGUAAGGACUAAAUAACCACGGUGCUUUAUUUGAUGCACAUGUUCCUUUGAAGUGGGUCCAAAAUAACAACUCAUUGCCUGAUCCUCAGUUUGCACCUUGGCAGGUCCAAGUAUCUUUUGAAAAUGCGAAGGGAAGCCUAGAGAGAAAACAGUCUGAUGAAGUCCAUCUCAAAGGACAGCACAGAAGAUCUUAGGAGAUGUCAAAAACACUCUGCAAAAUACUGGAAGUUGACAUGAAAUAUGCUAAAGAAGACCCUGAAGUGUGCAAAGAAGAAAGCAGUCUGACCAGGAAACUACGGCUUAAGAACAACACCUGAGAAGCUUCCUCUUUGCCUCCUACAUCUCAGACCUAGAGUUCCGAACCAAGGAUCCAAAAAUAAUAAUGGGCUCAAACAAGAAAGUCCACAACAAAAGCUUGUACACUCUCUCUCUCUCUUUUCUCUCUCUCUCUCACUCUCUCCACCCCCUUCCUCUCUCCCUCUCUCCAAAAGACCUGGAAAGGCGCAACCAAACAACACAGGAAAAUGCUUAGACAAUAACUUUCAACAAAACACCACAAAACUGAGUUAAUGGUGCCAAAUGACACUGAGAGAGAGCCAGGAUUCUCAUCCCUGCAGAUAUUCAAGCAAACCUCCCCAAACUUGGGGAAUCAACGAAGGCCAUUUGGGGAGCAAUAAAAAGACAUCCAUGCCCCUCUCAUAGAGGGAAGUGUCAUUGAAAGUCUGACUUCUAUUUCCACCUAGCAGUACAGUAAGCUUGUGUCACCACUUCUCUGCCAGCAGGAGACCACCUAAACAGGAGGGCGAAGUAAGUCCACAGUCUCUCAGUACAGUAUCCAAGUACCUAGAUUUCAAGAGCAAAUCACUCAUCAUUGCAAGAACAAGAGAAAGCUCAAAUUCACUCUAACAGGACAGCAAACAUGUUCUGCAAUCUAUAUGACACAAAUGUGAAGGUUGUCCUUCAAAGACUUGACAGCAGCCAUCAUAGAAAUCCUCCAAAGAGAAAUUACAAACAUUAGUGAAACUGUUGGAACAGAACACUUCUGCAAAGACACAGGAUGUCACCACAAAAGAUGGGUAUACAACCGAAGAUGUAGCUCAGCAGGUGCAGGGCCUGCCUGGCAAGUGUGAGGCCCUGAGUUCGAUUCCUGGUACCAAAAAAAAAAAAAAAUAGAUAUAUAGAGAUGAGUCAAAUGGAUUAAAAAUGCAAUAACCAACUAAAAAGCCAAGGCCUGGGUUCUACAAAAUAAUGGAAACACAAAGAAAAAGUAUCCAUGGACCAAAAGACAGCAAUAGAAAUUGCUUAUCAUGAGAGAAACUAUAGACAAGAAAAAAAUGAACUUAGCUCAAUGACCUGUAUAAUUAUAUAUAUAUAUAGAAAAGAUGUAACAGUUACACUGCCAAAGUCCUAGUGAGAAAGAAGGCAAACUUGAAAACAGGUGCCUUAACAAAUUACAGCUGAAGUUUCCCUAUAUUUAAUAAAAGAUAUCAAUCAGAUUUCAGAAACAUGGUGAACCUCAAACAGGAUAAAUUCAACAGCUAUCCAUACUAAAAGAUUCCCUAGUCAAACUUUUGAGAACUAAAGAUGGAAACAGAAACUCAACUCAGAUAUCCUUUGAAGAUGAACUGGUCAAGAAGACCAUGAUAUCUUAUGCAUAUAUCAAUAAAAGAAAACCUUGCAUUAGUUAUACGUGUAACACUGAAACGAUCAGGGCUAGUCAUCAGAGAAUGAUGGAGAAUGACAAAAGCUAUAGUGUAUGGUUCCAUUUAUAUAACAUUAUUGAAGUGACAACAUUAUAGAAAACAACUUAGGGCUAAGAAGGGGUAAGAAUGAGGGAACUGGCCAUGGCUAUGAGGACAACAUGAAGAACUUUGUAGGAACGGAAAAAAUAACCCUUUAUCUUGACUGUAUCAGUUUCAGUAUCUGAUAUAUUAUGCUAUGGUUUUACAAGUUGUUAGCACUGAGAGAAACAGGUAAAGGAUUACUCUACCUUAUUUCCUACCAUGUGAUGGAAAUCUACAAUUAUGUCAAAAUAAAAGUUAAUUAAGGCAAAGUUCUGCAAGCCUUAUAUCUAAUGGUUACAUUACUCUGGACAGAGAAUCAAAGCAUUUUGACAGUGUCACUUGAAUCUUAUGCAACCUUGGACAAACAUUCGGACCCUCUAAACCUACUUCAUUGCCAGUAAAAUGAGCAUGACUACAUCAACUCUACUUAUUUCUCCAGGGUAUCCAGGGUAAGAUGAAAAUGACCAUGAAGGUGCUUCUUAACCCCUUAUGUACCAAAAGAAAUAGAAUGAAAUGUGGGUAAAUACUGUAUGCAAGGCUCUAAUCUAAAGUGUGCACCCUCCUUUCUAUCUACAUGGUCUGAUUGUAUGUGAACUUGAGUGAUACGGCAUGUGACAUUUAGAGGAGGCCCACUAAAGAGAAAUCCCCAUCUUUCAUCAGAUCUUUCUCAGGUAUUCAGGAGUUCCCGAACUCAACAGUCUCAAGGUCUACAGUAACUCUUACCAAAUCCCUGACCUUCAAUACUCUGAAAUUUCUGAUAGCCUUUCAUUCUCCUUUCCUUGAACAUGCUAAGCCAUCUCAGACCUUCCUUUCCUUUCCACUUAGUUAACUUUUUUGUUGCUGAGACAAAAUACACAACACCCAAAG